rnacentral:lncRNA from 1 species
GCUGGGCGUAAAUGAUGAAGAUAAAUCAAAAAUAGUGCUCGCUUCGGACGCAUGGAAUUUAUAACUUGUUUUUUUUUCGACCACUAUUGCAGAUCUUUUUGUUGCUUAUCGGAUUAUCGUGGUCUGACAUCUGUCACGAACUAUUUUUUUUCCAGGUGAAUAAAAUUAAAUAAUUGCUGACGCAAUGCACGUGAAGGAUGUAAGGUUAAAUUUGUCUACAAUAGGAAACGAAAUGAAAGUUAACUCAUGCAAGAUCGUGAUUUUGGCGAAAAAC